UCCUUGGUGGCUCAGUUGGUAAAGAAUCUGCCUGCAAUGUAGGAGACCCAGGUUCAAUUCCUGGGUGGGGAA
rnacentral:tRNA from 1 species